rnacentral:miRNA from 1 species
GUUCAACCCCGGGGUUGAAAUUUCAACCCUGCUAGCUGAAGCAGGGUUGAAAUUUCAACCCCGGGAUGAAC